rnacentral:rRNA from 1 species
AUUGAACGCUGGCGGCAUGCUUUACACAUGCAAGUCGAACGGCAGCGCGGGCUUCGGCCUGGCGGCGAGUGGCGAACGGGUGAGUAAUGCAUCGGAACGUGCCCAGUAGUGGGGGAUAGCCCGGCGAAAGCCGGAUUAAUACCGCAUACGACCUGAGGGUGAAAGCGGGGGACCGAAAGGCCUCGCGCUAUUGGAGCGGCCGAUGUCGGAUUAGCUAGUUGGUGGGGUAAAGGCUUACCAAGGCGACGAUCCGUAGCUGGUCUGAGAGGACGACCAGCCACACUGGGACUGAGACACGGCCCAGACUCCUACGGGAGGCAGCAGUGGGGAAUUUUGGACAAUGGGGGCAACCCUGAUCCAGCCAUGCCGCGUGCGGGAAGAAGGCCUUCGGGUUGUAAACCGCUUUUGUUAGGGAAGAAAUCCUCUGGGCUAAUACCCCGGGGGGAUGACGGUACCGGAAGAAUAAGCACCGGCUAACUACGUG